rnacentral:rRNA from 1 species
AUUGAACGCUGGCGGCAGGCCUAACACAUGCAAGUCGAGCGGAUGACGGGAGCUUGCUCCUUGAUUCAGCGGCGGACGGGUGAGUAAUGCCUAGGAAUCUGCCUGGUAGUGGGGGACAACGUUUCGAAAGGAACGCUAAUACCGCAUACGUCCUACGGGAGAAAGCAGGGGACCUUCGGGCCUUGCGCUAUCAGAUGAGCCUAGGUCGGAUUAGCUAGUUGGUGGGGUAAUGGCUCACCAAGGCGACGAUCCGUAACUGGUCUGAGAGGAUGAUCAGUAACACUGGAACUGAGACUCGGUCCAGACUCCUACGGGAGGCAGCAGUGGGGAAUAUUGGACAAUGGGCGAAAGCCUGAUCCAGCCAUGCCGCGUGUGUGAAGAAGGUCUUCGGAUUGUAAAGCACUUUAAGUUGGGAGGAAGGGCAGUAAGUUAAUACCUUGCUGUUUUGACGUUACCGACAGAAUAAGCACCGGCUAACUCUGUGCCAGCAGCCGCAGUAA